UAUAGGUGGGUAAUCUUUGUCGUCUUGUGCCGGUAUUCCCGAGGCCAGUCGCAAUCCACAUGUGGUGACGGAGUUUUGUCUUCUCCUAAUUGCAGAAUUUUAUAAUAUACAAAAUGUCAUGAGUCAACGAAGAUGGAACACGUAGUACAGUGAAAUCGUAUUAUAUUUUGCUGUUUUUCAUAUGUAGCCGAGGGAAGUUGUAUAUCUAGUAAAAAAAAAAUCAAGAAAUGGUAUGUUCUUGAAAAUUUUUUUGUGUGUAUACGAACUCACGAAAUUAAAGCGAAGAUGGAUAUAUAGGUGACCUCUCCUUUUCAGAAUAAUAUGAUACCUACAAGUGAUAACACACUCGGCAGUUCUCCUGUGUAUUAUGAUUGCAGUUGUUUUUACAACCAUAAAUAUAUCGAUCUUUAUUUCGAUAAAAUAAAAGAAAAUUUGUAAAGUAGAUUUGUUGUUAAUAUUUUUCCGAUUAAUUUAAAUUUGUUUGUGUUUUAUGGUUUUAAAUAUCUUUUAGGAGUAUGUGCAUAUGAAUAAUCUGCGUGCAAAGCAAUCAUAGAAUCAAUGUUUAUUCGUAUAAAAUUUUAUUUAUUCUUUUUUUCUUAUAGUUAGACUGUAGAUACUUAUAUAUAGAACAAACAAUAAAUACUCGCGAAUUAAUUGCAUUGUCUGCUUCUUAAUUAUUAAAUAAUUAUCGUAUUACUGCAUCAUGGAAGAUAAUAAAAAAUGUAGUACACUUCUUCUAUAAAAUAAUAGUGAUCAUCAUUGCAUUGUCGUUAAGUCAAUAUCAUUAUUACAAAUUCAAUCUAAUGAAUUUUCAACCUACGUUGUAAAAUGAAAUAAAUUUUGGACCUAUUACGGAUCAGUUUAUUAUCGAUCCUGUUACCGAUCGAUUUACAACGUGGGCGGGUUUUGGAGCCUUUGGAGAUCUUCUUAAGUACUGCUUCUACUGCUUUCAAGGAACCAAACUAUCAAUUCAGAUGUUUACUGUCGAGAAUUAAUGAAACAUGAGGAAACAAUCAAAGAAAAACGACCAGAAUUGACAAAUCGCAAUGGGAUCUUGUUCCACUAAGAACUAAAUUUUCUGGAAAAUUAUUGGAGUUUGGUUGGAAAGUGAUAUCGUAUCCCCCAUAUAGUCUUGACAUUGCAUCAUCAAAUUAGCAUUUAUUUCGAAGUUCGGAAAACUCUUUGAAAGAGCCAUAUAUUGUUUUAUGGAAAGGUGGAAGCUUGUUGCUAUAGUAAGGAGGAAAGAUUGCCAUUGCUCGUAAAAUAAUUAAAGACUUCAAUAGGCAAAUGCGAAUCAUAGUUGUCUAUCAACAGGAAGAUGGAUUUCUCGUUAGAUAGCUUCACGUAUUGAACGAACUAUUUGAUGAGUUUAACAAAAUUUUCUUCUUUCAUUCAAUGUGUAUCAUUAAAUUACUCUCUUUCGCUAUUAAAAUUAAUCAGAUAUGUUACGAUAUGGUUAGAGACUUUUACAUGCUGAUAUGAAAUACACGUUUUUGCCCACUCAGCUCAAUUUUUUCUAACCGCUAUCUAAGCACAUGUCUCGGUAAUUAUUUUUAGAAUUGCUCGUAACACUACGUGCUUCACAGAGGCUGCCAAAAUCCUACGUUUUAAUUUACUAAGAAUAUAUGGCCUAAUUGUUUUCUUUGAAACAUUGCAGUAAAUUUUGUCAUUUUUAUCCGACUACGUUGAUUUUUAAAGCUAUAGAGCUUUGCGCAUUAGAAUUAUAAAAAGCUCUUUCUAUUCUUAAUCAUCUCUUUGCUCCGCAAUGACUGUUACCAUUGCUACUGUUACU